rnacentral:rRNA from 1 species
AAAGCUCAAAUUUAAAAUCUGGCAGGCUCAGUCUGUCCGAGUUGUAAUCUAGAGAAGUGUUAUCCGCGCUGGACCGUGUACAAGUCUCCUGGAACGGGGCGUCAUAGAGGGUGAGAAUCCCGUCUUUGACACGGACUACCAGGGCUUUGUGAUGCGCUCUCAAAGAGUCGAGUUGUUUGGGAAUGCAGCUCAAAAUGGGUGGUAAAUUCCAUCUAAAGCUAAAUAUUGGCGAGAGACCGAUAGCGAA